AGUGGCGCACGGGUGAGUAACACGUAGGUAACCUGCCUCAAAGACUGGGAUAACUUUCCGAAAGGAAUGCUAAUACCAGAUAAGACCACGAUUUUUAAUUUUAUUGGGGUCAAAGGAUGCUUUCGGGUGUCGCUUUGAGAUGGGCCUGCGGUACAUUAGCUAGAUGGUGGGGUAACGGCCUACCAUGGCAACGAUGUAUAGCUGGUCUGAGAGGACGAUCAGCCACACUGGAACUGAGACACGGUCCAGACUCCUACGGGAGGCAGCAGUGGGGAAUAUUGGACAAUGGGGGAAACCCUGAUCCAGCAACGCCGCGUGAGUGAUGAAGGCCUUAGGGUCGUAAAGCUCUGUUGAGAGGGAAGAAUGGGUCGUUUAAUAAACGAUUUUGACGUUACCUCUUGAGGAAGCACCGGCUAACUCUGUGCCAGCAGCCGCGGUAAUACAGAGGGUGCAAGUGUUGUUCGGAAUUAUUGGGCGUAAAGCGCGCGUAGGUUGUCUAGCAAGUCGAAUGUGAAAGCCCUGGGCUCAACCCAGGAACUGCAUCCGAAACUGCUAGGCUAGAGUUUGGUAGAGGAGAGUGGAAUUCCCGGUGUAGAGGUGAAAUUCGUAGAGAUCGGGAGGAACACCAGUGGCGAAAGCGGCUCUCUGGGCCAAAACUGACGCUAAGGCGCGAAAGCGUGGGGAGCAAACAGGAUUAGAUACCCUGGUAGUCCACGCUGUAAACGAUGGGUACUAGA
rnacentral:rRNA from 1 species